AGCGUGAAGGGAAGAUAUAUGAGCAAGCAGCUGAGAAAGAUUGGAAGCAUUCGGAUGAUGACCUCUCCUUCCUCUUCAGCUUGAGUGGUGCUGCAGAAUGAACAAUCGUUAUUAUCUCCAUCGCAUAUAUUCAAGGUUUCAGCUCGAUAGCAUCUACCACGGCAGCUUGCCUCUUCUUUGAUGACGCUACAACCUGGAGAGCGGAACUACUCUUCCGCAGGUGCCGAUAUGUGUGGGAGCUCGUGAUUGAGACGGCACAUGCGGGAGCCUGCUUCUCUUGUUUAUCCCGCAACAGCCCUCUUUAGUCUUGUACACCUUUAUGUCUGAAAUUGCCCGUAAGACGUGCUCUCACAAACUAGCAACCCCUCUGGUGAAGAGUAAAGACUUGUACCGAAGCCUUGCAUGGAUAAACUGUGCCUAAUACUUUGUUUCUAUGUCAAUUUUUGUGAUGACAAAGUGUGAUUUCUGCCUUCUGUAGUUGCAAUGCACUAAAUGUAAGAUCUUUUUUUUUCUGUUCCUUUUCUUCUUCGAGACCAAGUGUAAGAUAUCUUUGGUCAGCUAUGGAGAAGAGAAAAGGAACAUUGAUUCUUGAACACGAGAUUUUGUCAGAUUUUUUCAUGGUCCUGAUAAACAAGGAUUUGGCUGGUUC